rnacentral:rRNA from 1 species
CAAUAGCGUAUAUUAAAGUUGUUGCGGUUAAAAAGCUCGUAGUUGGAUUUCUGUUGAUAACGGCCGGUCCGCACUAUGUGCGUGUAUCAGGUUCGGUGUCGCCAUCCUCGUGGGGAUCGUUUCUGUGCUUGAUUGCAUGGGGCGGAAUUCACGACUUUUACUUUGAGGAAAUUAGAGUGUUCACGGCAAGCUAUCGCUUUGAAUACAUUAGCAUGGAAUAAUGAUAUAGGGCGUAAGUUCUAUUUUGUUGGUUUCUAGAACUAAGGUAAUGGUUAAUAGGGACAGGUUGGGGGGCAUUCGUAUUAACGCGUCAGAGGUGGAAUUCUUGGAUUGCGUUACGACGAACUACUGCGAAAGCAUUUGCCAAGGAUGUUUUCAUUGAUCAAGAACGAAAGUAUGGGGAUCGAAGACGAUCAGAU